rnacentral:rRNA from 1 species
CACGGGGGGAGCAAGCGUUGUUCGGAAUCACUGGGCGUAAAGAGCGUGUAGGCUGUUCGGUAAGUCCGCUGUCAAAGUCAAAGGCUCAACCUUUGAAUGUCAGUGGAUACUGCCGGGCUAGAGUCCGGAAGAGGCGAGUGGAACUCCUGGUGUAGCGGUGGAAUGCGCAGAUAUCAGGAGGAACACCAAUAGCGAAGGCAGCUCGCUGGGACGUUACUGACACUGAGGCGCGAAAGCGUGGGGAGCGAACAGG